rnacentral:rRNA from 1 species
UCCUUAGAUGUUCUGGGCCGCACACGCGCUACACUGAAGGAGGCAGCGUGUACUCCUGGAUCGAAAGAUUUGGGUAACCCGCGAAUCUCCUUCGUGCUAGGGAUUGAGGUUUGCAAUUAUCCUUCAUGAACGAGGAAUUCCCAGUAAGUGCAAGUCAUAAGCUUGCGCUGACUACGUCCCUGCCCUUUGUACACACCGCCCGUCGCUACUACCGAUUGAAUGAUUUAGUGAGGACUUCGGACUGGGACCGAUGCGGCUUUCGGGCUGCGUCGGUAUUCUGGAAAGAUGUCCAAACUGUAUCAUUUAGAGGAAGUAAAAGUCGUANCA